rnacentral:rRNA from 1 species
GAUGAACGCUGGCGGCGUGCCUAAUACAUGCAAGUCGAGCGAACGGACGAGGAGCUUGCUUCUCUGAUGUUAGCGGCGGACGGGUGAGUAACACGUGGAUAACCUACCUAUAAGACUGGGAUAACUUUGGGAAACCGGAGCUAAUACCGGAUAAUAUUUUGAACAGCAUGGUUCAAAAGUUAAAGACGGUCUUUCUGUCACUUAUAGAUGGAUCCGCGCUGCAUUAGCUAGUUGGUAAGGUAACGGCUUAGCAAGGCAACGAUGGAUAGCCGACCUCAGAGGGUGAACGGCCACACUGGAACUGAGACACGGUCCAGACUCCUGCGGGAGGCAGCAGUAGGGAAUCUUCCGCAAUGGGCGAAAGCCUGACGGAACAACGCCGCGUGAGUGAUGAAGGUCUUCGGAUCGUAAAACUCUGUUAUUAGUGAAGAACAUAUGUGUAAGUAACUGUGCACAUCUUGACGGUACCUAAUCAGAAAGCCACGGCUAACUACGUG